AUCAUUCACGUCAAUUUCCUUAUCAUUCUGAACCCAAUAUCACGCUAGAUGCUGCAAAUCACCAAACCAAUCUCGAUUUUGAUUCUCAAUUAGGCAAUAUCUAGCUCCAAAUUACACGCGAUCUGUUCAAUCCAGUUUGAAUUCAUCUCAGUUCGAGCUAUCAAUCACACGUUGAUCCAGUUGUAUUUGUAUGUGUGCUAGCAUGCCCCAGCGAACUCUGGCCAUAUGUUGGUAAGAAAGUCGUUACAUUAGAUGAGGGCUUUGGCUUUUAUGAAGGUUAGCCGAUGUUGUUCGUGGACCAGCUCGAAGUUUGGGACAAACUGAAAUUCCAUCAGAUCCAAAGCAGCUCUCAAAGAAUAAAGUUGUUGACAUUUUUUUCAGUUACAUGAAAAAAUUUGAUGGUGAUAGUGCGAUAAUUGAUUCUUUUUCAGUUGGAAUUGAUGAGCUUGGGAAUAGUCUUUUGACAAGAAUCAAUGAACUAUCUUCAGCAGACAAGGGUACCAUAGUUAAAGAUUUCUAUUUUAUUGAAAAGUUGGCUGUGGUUGAAGUACAACCACCAUCAGUUGUGUCGACCAAAGGUUCGGCAAGUGAUUCUAAUAGUCGUUUGGUGUCCGUGAAGGAGAAGGCUAUAAAGUUGAACAACAAACCAUUGCGUCGGUGUAAAAAAUGUGGAGAAUUAGGUCACCAUGACUCUAGGAACUGUGGCCGACAAGAGGGAAAAUAAAAUUGUUAGUUCAUUUUUUCAUUACCAUAUUGCAAUCUUAUACAUUGUAUAUUGCAGUAUUAGUAUCGCCAUAUUGCAGUCUUAAUGUAACGAUUGCAGACCACACUAUUUGUUUCAAUCUAUUAUUUCCAGAAGGAUUAAUUAUUAAUUUUA